UCAGCCUCAUCAUGCUGGUCCUUUGUUGCAAGCAGCACCUCGUCAUAGAAUUUGUUGCCUUCCUUACCAGCUAUAGGCAACGCUCCUACCACAUCCACAUCAAAGUCUCCUCUCCAUGUGCCUUCUUGAAGCACAUUCGCAUCCAACUGCGUGUCCUUGCACGUGUUGUCCCGUGAAGGACAGAUGCCAUCUCCAAGAUUCGCACUCUCACCCGAGGCCACCUCCUUAUUCUCCAAGUCAACAGUU
rnacentral:lncRNA from 1 species